UAAAUAUCGAGAGCUGGAGCUAUGGAACAAAAGGCACAUAAUAAUAUUCACAUGUUAGGAGUAGUGGCAGAAAAAAACAACAGGGUAGAAAAAACCCAAACCUUCCUUUAUCCACCCCAAAUCCACCCCAAUCCACCCAAAUCCUGUGGGAACAGUCACAGGUCAAAGAAAUAGACAAGAAUGGUGAGGAGAGGAAGGGAACACCUUGAAGGACGAGUAGGAGCUGGUCAGGCAUACAGGGUGUGUGGGAGUAGCACAGAAAGGAAGCUGCAUGUCCCAAGGUAGAGGAUGAAGAGACAAGCAUGUCUGAGUGCGGGGGAUGCAGGGCAGAGAAAAGCCACACAAUUUCUGCUCUCAUGAGAUUGUAGUCUGGUGAGGAAAGACAUACAUUAAACAAAUGUUGCUUAAAUAAAUGUAAAAUGAAAACUUUAAAAGUGUUGUAAGAAAAUAAUUUGAAUCUUAUGAGAGAUUAUAAGGGAAACUGAUCUAUCUAGAUGUCAAGGAAGGCUUCCAGUAAGAAGAUCUUUGAUAUACUAUCUGGAGGAUAAGUAGGAGUCCAGAGGUGAAGAAGUGGAUGUACGAGAAACUGUACGUGCAAAGGCCCUUUGGCAGAAGGACAAGAACUGAGACCAGGCCAGUGUGACUGAAGAGCAGAGCAGACAGGGAAGAAGGCCAGGUGAAAAUGGGGGAGGGACUGAAUCAUGCCAGACCUUGCAGGCCAUGUGAAGGACUUUGGUCUUUCUCUGAAGAGUGAUGAGAACCCAUUCAAAUGGUUUCUUCAGAUCUGGUGGGGUUUGAUUAGAGGUGGAGACAUAAUCAGAUUUGUAUUUUGAGAAGAUCCUUUUGCCUUCUACGUGGAGAACCAAUAGGAGGAGGCUGGAGCAGAUAGGAGCUGCCUGAUGCUGCUGCAGCAGUCUAGCCAGAGACUCAAGCUGACUUCUUUCAACUUCCCCAGGGUACCUAGUGCACAAACCUGGCAUACAUCGCUGUCCUCCAAGAUCCAGCCUG
rnacentral:lncRNA from 1 species